GAGUUUUACUCAAACGGUUUACCCUGAAUCUAAUCUUUCCAACCUUUCUUGAGAGAAAACAUUCCUCCAUAGUAGUAGAAUAAUUUGAACCUUUAUCGACCCAAGUAUAAGUAUCGUAAGAGAAAAUUGAAAUAACUUUUAAAAUUAAUACCCAAAUAAGGAAAGAUUAAUACUUUUACCUUGUGUAUAAUGGAUUAACUAGAUUAAAGAGAAAAUCCUUUUUUCCCGAAGCCAGACGAGCUAACCCCUGCCUCUUUUUAGAAGAAUAUCCCCACUGUUGCAAUAGUGGAGAAAGAGCAAGGGUUAGAUGUUAUAUGCUAACCGCGCCUGGCGAUAGCUGGUUCGCCGAGAAAUUGGUCUUAGCCAAGCUCUCAAGGAGAAACGCAAAGAUUGUUGCUUAUGCAUAAACAAACCCUUCAAGUUUCCGCCCAGAAGAGUCAAAGGGGUAGGGAUUAGCCUGUCCCUUAAAACGGAAAACUCCGACCACUCUAGAAAAAGACAAUAAAUUCCUGGAAAUGGAAUCAUAGCAAAAUAGGCCCAGAAGCAGCCACUUCAGUAGAAAGCGUUAAAGCUCAACUAUCUAAGAACCAAAAAAUUCUUGCUCCAAGCUCACCUGAUUCUGAGUAUCGUUAUCGGCGUCUUUUCUUUUCAAAAACAAUCAUGUUAAUAUGAGUAAGUUUUUCUUAUUUGAGAUUUUAGACAACAAUUACCAUGGAACAAAAAAAUGACAUUCCUAUAAAAAAUAUUUUUUACACCGUCUUUCAACUCAGAAAAGAUCUUUUCACUAAACCAGAGAUAAGAAGGAACUCGGCAAAGACGAGCUUCGCCUGUUUACCAAAAACAUCGCUCUUCGACCCCCAAGCAUGAAGAGUCCUGCCUGCCCAGUGACUGAAAAGUUAAACGGCCGCGGUAUCUUGACCGUGCGAAGGUAGCAUAAUUAUUUGUCUCCUAAAUAGAGACUGGCAUGAAUGGCAAGACGGGGCUCUACUGUCUCCUUAUCUCCCACCUGAAAUUCACAUCUUUGUGAAGAGGCAAAGAUAAAAUCGCUAGACGAGAAGACCCUAUCGAGCUUAAACUAAAGCAGAAGCUUAAAUUCCCCUCACCAUUCAUCUAAUCAAAUUCACUUAAUGAAGAACUGAGAAAUCGUUUUUUGUGGGAGUUUUAGUUGGGGCAACUGCGGAGAAGAAAAUCCUCCGCUAUCAUCUAAGCUUUUAGGAAAACUACCCUAAAGCAAGAACAGCAAGUGAUCCACCCUGGUGAUCAAAGGAACAAGUUACCGUAGGGAUAACAGCGUAAUCUUUUUCGAGAGUUCAUAUUGACAAAAAGGUUUGCGACCUCGAUGUUGGAUCGGGACAUCCUAAUAGUGCAGAAGCUUUUAAGGGUUGGUCUGUUCGACCAUUAAAGUCCUACGUGAUCUGAGUUCAGACCGGCGAGAGCCAGGUCAGUUUCUAUCUGCGACUUCUCUCUCUUAGUACGAAAGGACCAGAGAGAGGGUGCCAAUACUAUCUGUAAGCACCUGAAUUAAAAAC
rnacentral:rRNA from 1 species